rnacentral:lncRNA from 1 species
GCAGGCUUUCGAACUUUAUGUAAAUGACGUGAGAGUGCAGGUGGCGAGUCUGCACCUUGUGCUUCCGAGUGAGAGUGUGCGAGGUUUCUUAUUGGCCCUGCGGGGGCCGUGCCCUCUCGUCUUCGCAGUUACCCUGCCACUGCUCCAGCCCCCAUUUCUCCCUUUUUCGGCCGAGGUCAGCCCUGCUGGACUUGGAGGCUUUGCUGAUGUGAUGACUCCGGGAUCCUGCCUCCCUGUUUUCUCCAGCACUUUCCUCAUUCCUGUUGUAGGCAGCGAGGCGUCACCACAUGGAAAAUACAGGGUUGCAGGAGCAGCUUUAAUGCCAGCCAGGGUAUCGUGAACGAUUCGUGUCAUGUAUAUAGUGACACCUACUGCCAACAGUAUAUGCUGGGGCCCUUCCACCGCUGACUUCUCUGUACUGCUGCUCCUGUCUUUUGGCUUAAGGGGAGUGCUGAGUGGAGAGCUGCGCAUACAUCUGUGUGCCGUGGACAGCGAGUGUAGGUAAGUAAAUCUGCGUAGGCGUAAGGGGCACAUCUGUGAAAAGAUAGGCGCAUAAACAAGCACACAGGCUGUUACAAGACCUUCGAAGGCCUUCGGCACUCUGAGUUCCGGAUGCUCAUCCCACAUCGUAACAAACAUUAAAAUACGCCCCCAUUAUCUAAAUACUCUUAAAGAAUUUAAGCGUAAAGAGAGUUUUCAUUUGGAAUUAUUCGGAGAUGGGGAAUUUAUUUAUGACUGCUGUGACUUCCUGGCCAUGAUGGUAAUAGGAAAUUCUUAGCAAAUGACUGCUAAUUUACACGUGGUUUUCAGAUAUAAUGAUGUGUUGAUCAAUAAUUAUAUCACACUUAUGAAGUUGACUUGUUGUAUUUCAGGGAUCUUUGUUGAAUACGUGUUCACUUCAAAUUUGCAGUGCAUUUUUUUUUUUGCAUUUUGAGGUUCACAGCAUUUCUUUUUCAGCCCCUGAUCUUUUCCUCGGUCCUUGAGAAGCCCAAGGAUUGAACUGGCCGGGUCAACACUGCGGCUUGUGUAUAUUAGGCAUAAAAGGCAAUGAAGACUCUCCCUUUUCUCUAGUCUGAGGAUCCCCCGGAAGAGAACAGGGGAAAACGUGUCCCAUUCCUGCUGUUUCCUGGACUUCCUUUCUCAUGUCUGUCCUUAGCUUUGCCCCCGGACUCCACUCCUCUCUUUCCAUGAAGUGUCAGGUAACAUGGAUGCUGAAUGCAGACAUAAGGGGAACUUUCCUCAACACAAGUCAUGUUUUCUGGGGAAAAGAAUUUAUGACGAAAAUUUCCCUAACUGGAC